AUUGAACGCUGGCGGCAUGCUUUACACAUGCAAGUCGGACGGCAGCACAGAGAAGCUUGCUUCUUGGGUGGCGAGUGGCGAACGGGUGAGUAACAUAUCGGAACGUACCGAGCAGUGGGGGAUAACUAAUCGAAAGAUUAGCUAAUACCGCAUAUUUUCUGAGGAAGAAAGCAGGGGACCAUUUGGCCUUGCGCUGUUUGAGCGGCCGAUAUCUGAUUAGCUAGCUGGUGGGGUAAAGGCCUACCAAGGCGACGAUCAGUAGCGGGUCUGAGAGGAUGAUCCGCCACACUGGGACUGAGACACGGCCCAGACUCCUACGGGAGGCAGCAGUGGGGAAUUUUGGACAAUGGGCGCAAGCCUGAUCCAGCCAUGCCGCGUGUCUGAAGAAGGCCUUCGGGUUGUAAAGGACUUUUGUCAGGGAAGAAAAGGGCGGGGUUAAUACCCCUGUCUGAUGACGGUACCUGAAGAAUAAGCACCGGCUAACUACGUGCCAGCAGCCGCGGUAAUACGUAGGGUGCGAGCGUUAAUCGGAAUUACUGGGCGUAAAGCGGGCGCAGACGGUUACUUAAGCAGGAUGUGAAAUCCCCGGGCUCAACCUGGGAACUGCGUUCUGAACUGGGUGACUAGAGUGUGUCAGAGGGAGGUAGAAUUCCACGUGUAGCAGUGAAAUGCGUAGAGAUGUGGAGGAAUACCGAUGGCGAAGGCAGCCUCCUGGGAUAACACUGACGUUCAUGCCCGAAAGCGUGGGUAGCAAACAGG
rnacentral:rRNA from 1 species